AUAUGAAAUCGAUAAGUGAGGUUACUUCGGGGAUACGGACUGCUGCCGCAAAAUGAUGGAGACAUCAUUCGCUGGUUUGAACAGUCUAUGUCGUUAAGGCGUAGACUAUUGUAGUUACAUUGCCCUUUAGAACUAAAGCCCAAACGGAACAUAAGA
rfam:Catenibacterium sp. CAG:290 genomic scaffold, scf30